rnacentral:tRNA from 1 species
GCGACCAUAGCUCAGUUGGUUAGAGCGCCGGUUUGUGGUACUGGAGGUCGCGGGUUCGAGCCCCGUUGGUCGCCCCA